GCAAGUCGAACGGAAUAAUANUUCGGUAUUAUUUAGUGGCGGAAGGGUUAGUAAUACAUAGAUAAUUUGUCCUUAACUUGGGAAUAACGGCUGGAAACGGCCGCUAAUACCGAAUGUGGUAUGUUUAGGCAUCUAAAGCAUAUUAAAGAAGGGGAUCUUCGGACCUUUCGGUUAAGGGAGAGUUUAUGGGAUAUCAGCUUGU
rnacentral:rRNA from 1 species